rnacentral:rRNA from 1 species
UCUGCCCAAUGAUAAAAUUUAAUGGCCGCAGUAUUUUGACUGUGCAAAGGUAGCAUAAUAAAUAGUUUUUUAAUUGAGGACUGGAAUGAAAGAGGGGAUGAAAUUUUAACUGUCUCAAAUUUAAUAAUAAAAAUUUAUUUUAAGUAAAAAAUCUUAAAUUUAUUUAAGGGACGAGAAGACCCUAUAGAAUUUUAAAUUUUUUAUAUUAAAAUUUAGUUAAUUUAAUUAAAUAAAUUAUAAUAAUAAAAAAUUUUUUAUUGGGAGGAUAUUUAAAUUUAAUUAACUUUAAAUUUUUUAUAACGAUAAUGAAUGAAUUUAUAAAAAUUUAUAAAUAAAAAAAAUAAAAUUACCUUAGGGAUAACAGCGUAAUAAAUUUUUAAAGUUCAAAUUAAAAAAUUUGUUUGCGACCUCGAUGUUGAAUUAAAAUAAAAUUUAAGUGUAGAAGCUUAAUAUUUGA